rnacentral:lncRNA from 1 species
GUGCAAUAUACGUGCCCUAACCUGGAUUUAGAUUUCCUGUCCUUCCUGGUUGGGCCUCUGUUACACACCAGAUCGUGCCGGCAAAUGCCCACACACAGCCCUCAGUCUAGUGACCGUGUGUCUCCCAAAAUGUCCCUCUGCGAUCACAGCAGGUCAUGUUGGUGACUCCUAAAUACCUUCUCAGAGACUGGGACAAUCUGCAGAGACACCCUUGGAGCACAGUGCAGCAGCUUCCCAUACCCUGCAUUCAGAUUGCUAAGUUCUGGGUGACAGAGGAUUUGUAUGCGGAACUAUUGAAGGGAGAAAUGAUGUGUGCUCUGUAACUUUCUUCAAAAUGGUUCAGGAAAAAAUAUAUAUACCUGUGCAGAUGAAGCAAAUAUGGCAAAUGUUAACAUCUAUUAUAUCUCAGCCAUUGGUGUAUGGGUAUUUACUGUUAUAUACUUUCAAUUUUUCUCAAUAGUUGAAAUUCUUUCAUAAUAAAAUCUUUUAAAAACUCUUCUAAUUUAAAAAGUUAAAAAUGGUAUACUUUCAAAACUUGUAUUGCAUUCAUUAAUUUCUUCAACAAAUAUUAAUUCAAUAGAGUCAACAAAUAUUAACUCAAUUUAGUAUCUGUUACGCAGAACUGACCUGGUUCCUAGCCUCAUGGAGCUCACCAUUUGGCAUUUUCUUUAGGUCGGGCAUUUGUUUGCUAAUUAUAUCGUCUGUGCAUAUUGUCUUCAAAUUUAAAUCUUUUUUUUUUUUUUUCGAGACAGUGUCUCACUCCAUCACCAAGGCUAGAGUACAGUGGCACAAUCUCGGCUAACUGCAACCUCCCAGGUUCAAGUGAUUCUCAUGCCUCAGCCUUCCGAGCAGCUGGGACUAUAGGCACACACCACCACAUCCAGCUAAUUUUUGUAUUUUUAGUAGAGACAGGGUUUUGCCAUGUUGGCCAGGCUGGUUUUGAACUCCUGGCCUCAAAUGAUCAGCCUGCCUUGGCCUCCCAAAGUGCUAGUAUUACAGGCAUGAGCAAGGCCUUCAAAUUUAAAUCUUGAUUUUUAAAAACUAAUCUAUAUAUAGGAUCUUGGUAGAAUUAAAAUAUCAAUGGCUGGGCAUAUGGCUCACGUCUAUAAUCCUAGCACUUUGGGAGGCCGAGGCAGGUGGAUCAUUUAAGGUCAGGAGAUUGAGACAAGCCUGACCAACAUGGUGAAACCCCGUCUCUACUAAAAAUACAAGAAUUAGCCGGGUUGGUGGCACACGCCUGUGAUCCCAGCUACUUGGGAGGCUGAGGCAGGAGAAUCGCUUGAACCCAGGAGUUGGACAUUGCAGUGAGCUGAGAUCUCGCCAUUGCACUCCAGCCUGGGCGACAGAGCAAGACUCUGUCUCCAAAAAAAAAACAGAAGAAGAAAAAGAAGUUACAAUUUUUUAAGGUAGUCAAAUCUGUUGAAUUUUUUGAUGACUUUUGCUAUUGGUUCUAAACUUUGGAAAUAAACCUCUAGCCUAAGAUUUGGCAGAGGGUAAAUUGUACUUACUGUUAUUUAAUACUUUUACUCUUUCUUUAUAAUAUUUAUAUGUUUCUGUUUCAGUAUUAUCAUGUUGACUAGAGUGUUAAAAGCAAUGUUAAAUAGUGAUGGUGAUGGCAGACCUCCUUAUUUUGUUACUGGUUUCCACAAGAAUGCCUCUAGUGUUUAAGUUAAUUACAGAAUUGGUUAUUGGUUUGAAAUAUUUUUUAUUAUGCUAAGAAUGCACCCUUCUGUUCCUUUUUUUUGCUGUAUUGGUUAGGUAGACAUGGUUGUUCAAUUUAAUCAUUUUUCCCCAGCACAUAUUGGAAACAAUACGGUUUUACUUUUUUAAUGCAUUAGCAUGACGUAGUUACUAUAUUAAGCUUUCCUAAUAUUGACUAUUCUUUCCUCCUGCCCCACUGGGUUAUGGUGGAUGACUUGUUUAAUAUAUUAUUGAAUUCUAUUUCCUACCCAGCAUUUUCAUGCUUCAAAAUAGUCUCUUUGCCAUGUUUAAUAUCAGGCUUAUUUUGCUUUGUAGAAUGAACUGGAGAGCUCUCCAUCUUUUGCUAAGCUGUGGAACAGCUUAGCAUUAUCAGUAUUAUCAAAUUCAAAAUAAUUAACUAGCAAAAACACUUGGGACCAGUGUCUUUGGUGGGUAGAGGGGCAAUGCUUCGAUAAGGAUUGAAAAUUUUUUCUCAAUUAGCAACAUAUAUAUUUUCAGAAAAGCAUGCAUUUAAUUGAGAUUUUGAAAUUAUGCCUAUGAUUGUGCAUACGUUUCUAUUAUUUUAAAAUCUCCUCUGUAUCUAUUGCAAUGUCCCCUUUCUCAUUCCCUUUUUUUUUUUUGUUGUUGUUGUUGUUGUUUUGUUUUUUUUCUCAUUUCUCCCUUUUAUUUCUCAAAUAGAAUUGCCAGGGGUUAGGCUACUUUACUGUUUGUUUAAAAACAGAAUCAGCUCUUGGAUACGUUUGCUGAUUUCACUGUGUUUCCGUUUCUUAAUUCAUUGAUUUCUGCCUUUAUCUUUACUAUUUUUUUCCCCUCUCAUUUUCCUUAGGGGCUGUUUUUAUUCUUUUUUUUUCCUAAGCACUCAGGCUGAAUGCUUAGUUUAUUUGCCUUUUCUCUCUCCCUUUUUAAUAAUAAAAGCAUUUAAGGCUAUGAGAAUAGUGCCAGCUGUCUCCCAUAGGUUUGGGUAUGUGGCAUUCUAGUUUUCAAUGCUUUCUAAAUAUUUGUCAGUACAUUCUUUAUUUCUUCCUUGAACCAAUAGCAAUUUAAGUGCUUUAAAUUUUUUCAAGUGGUUGGGUUUUAGUUUGUUUAAAUUUACAAUAUUUUGGCGAGGUUUACUGCAUGGUGAUCAAAGGACUCCCCGACUGGCACAAUUUCUGUUUUGGGUAGAAUAUGAGUUUUUGCAGUUGGUUACUGGUAGCUGACAGAAAUGUUUGCAAAGCAUAUGCUCACUUGUAAAGCCCAUGUGCUUUUUUAAAGUUUUUGUUUGCCAUAAUGUUAUGUCAAAUGAAAAAGAAAAAUGAUAUAAAGUUCAAUGUGCUUGUAACCAUGUUUAAAAUACAGUGUAUUUACAUAUAUGCAAUGAAAAAGGCUGUGAGGAAAUACACAAAAGUACUAAAUGGUGUUGGUAAUUUCCAGCUUGUGAGAUUAUGGAGCAAUUUGUACUGUCUUUACCCUUGUCUGUGUUUAUCAGAUUGUCUACAUAAACCAUAAGGUUG